rnacentral:rRNA from 1 species
GGUGAACGCUGGCGGCGUGCCUAAUACAUGCAAGUCGAGCGAACGGACGAGAAGCUUGCUUCUCUGAUGUUAGCGGCGGACGGGUGAGUAACACGUGGAUAACCUACCUAUAAGACUGGGAUAACUUCGGGAAACCGUAGCUAAUACCGGAUAAUAUUUUGAACCGCAUGGUUCAAAAGUGAAAGACGGUCUUGCUGUCACUUAUAGAUGGAUCCGCGCUGCAUUAGCUAGUUGGUAAGGUAACGGCUUACCAAGGCAACGAUGCAUAGCCGACCUGAGAGGGUGAUCGGCCACACUGGAACUGAGACACGGUCCAGACUCCUACGGGAGGCAGCAGUAGGGAAUCUUCCGCAAUGGGCGAAAGCCUGACGGAGCAACGCCGCGUGAGUGAUGAAGGUCUUCGGAUCGUAAAACUCUGUUAUUAGGGAAGAACAUAUGUGUAAGUAACUGUGCACAUCUUGACGGUACCUAAUCAGAAAGCCACGGCUAACUACGU